ACGUAGGAGACAAACGUUAUCCGGAGUUACUGGGCGUAAAGGGCGUGUAGGUGGUAAUGUAAGUCUGGCGUGAAAUUUUUCGGCUUAACCGGGAAAGGUCGUCGGAGACUGCAUAACUAGAGGACGGUAGAGGCGUGUGGAAUUCCGGGUGUAGUGGUGAAAUGCGUAGAGAUCCGGAGGAACACCAGUGGCGAAGGCGACACGCUGGGCCGUACCUGACACUGAUGCGCGACAGCAUGGGGAGCAAACAGGAUUAGAAACCCUGGUAGUCCAUGCCGUAAACGAUGCUAGCUGGGUGUUCAGGGCGGGAAACCGCUCGGGGUACCGAAGUCAACACGGUAAGCUAGCCGCCUGGGGAGUACGGUCGCAAGAUUA
rnacentral:rRNA from 1 species